AUUGAACGCUGGCGGCAGGCCUAACACAUGCAAGUCGAGCGGAUGAAGGGAGCUUGCUCAUGGAUUCAGCGGCGGACGGGUGAGUAAUGCCUAGGAAUCUGCCUGGUAGUGGGGGAUAACGUCCGGAAACGGGCGCUAAUACCGCAUACGUCCUGAGGGAGAAAGUGGGGGAUCUUCGGACCUCACGCUAUCAGAUGAGCCUAGGUCGGAUAGCUAGUUGGUGGGGUAAAGGCCUACCAAGGCGACGAUCCGUAACUGGUCUGAGAGGAUGAUCAGUCACACUGGAACUGAGACACGGUCCAGACUCCUACGGGAGGCAGCAGUGGGGAAUAUUGGACAAUGGGCGAAAGCCUGAUCCAGCCAUGCCGCGUGUGUGAAGAAGGUCUUCGGAUUGUAAAGCACUUUAAGUUGGGAGGAAGGGCAGUAAGUUAAUACCUUGCUGUUUUGACGUUACCAACAGAAUAAGCACCGGCUAACUUCGUG
rnacentral:rRNA from 1 species